GAUGAACGCUGGCGGCGUGCCUAAUACAUGCAAGUCGAGCGAACAGACGAGGAGCUUGCUCCUCUGACGUUAGCGGCGGACGGGUGAGUAACACGUGGAUAACCUACCUAUAAGACUGGGAGAACUUCGGGAAACCGGAGCUAAUACCGGAUAAUAUAUUGAACCGCAUGGUUCAAUAGUGAAAGACGGUUUUGCUGUCACUUAUAGAUGGAUCCGCGCCGCAUGAGCUAGUUGGUAAGGUAACGGCUUACCAAGGCAACGAUGCGUAGCCGACCUGAGAGGGGGAUCGGCCACACUGGAACUGAGCCACGGUCCAGACUACUACGGGAGGCAGCAGUAGGGAAUCUUACGCAAUGGGCGAAAGCCUGACGGAGCAACGCCGCGUGAGUGAUGAAGGUCUUCGGAUCGUAAAACUCUGUUAUUAGGGAAGAACAAAUGUGUAAGUAACUAUGCACGUCUUGACGGUACCUAAUCAGAAAGCCACGGCUAACUACGUG
rnacentral:rRNA from 1 species